rnacentral:rRNA from 1 species
UACGGAGGGGACUAGCGUUGUUCGGAAUUACUGGGCGUAAAGCGCACGUAGGCGGAUUUGUAAGUCAGGGGUGAAAUCCCGGGGCUCAACCUCGGAACUGCCUUUGAUACUGCAAAUCUCGAGUCCGGAAGAGGUGAGUGGAAUUCCUGGUGUAGCGGUGGAAUGCGCAGAUAUCAGGAGGAACACCGAUGGCGAAGGCAGAUCUCUGGGCCGUAACUGACGCUGAGGAGCGAAAGCAUGGGGAGCGAACAGG